GAUUGACCUCGGAUCAGGUAGGGAUACCCGCUGAACUUAAGCAUAUCAAUAAGCGGAGGAAAAGAAACCAACAGGGAUUGCCUCAGUAACGGCGAGUGAAGCGGCAACAGCUCAAAUUUGAAAUCUGGCCCCCUGGGGCCCGAGUUGUAAUUUGCAGAGGAUGUUUCGGGUUGCGGCACCGAUCUAAGUUCCUUGGAACAGGGCGUCAUAGAGGGUGAGAAUCCCGUACGUGACCGGUCGCCAACCCCAUGUGAAACUCCUUCGACGAGUCGAGUUGUUUGGGAAUGCAGCUCAAAAUGGGUGGUAAAUUUCAUCUAAAGCUAAAUACCGGCCAGAGACCGAUAGCGCACAAGUAGAGUGAUCGAAAGAUGAAAAGCACUUUGGAAAGAGAGUUAAAAAGUACGUGAAAUUGUUGAAAGGGAAGCGCUUGCAGCCAGACUCGCCCGGGGGUGAUCAGCCUGCCUUCUGGAAGGUGUACUCUCCCCCGGCCGGGCCAGCAUCGGUUCGGGCGGCCGGAUAAAGGUCCCGGGAACGUAGCUCCUCUCGGGGAGUGUUAUAGCCCGGGGUGCAAUGCGGCCAGCCUGGACCGAGGACCGCGCUUU
rnacentral:rRNA from 1 species